UACGAAGGGGGCUAGCGUUGCUCGGAAUUACCGGGCGUAAAGCGCACGUAGGCGGAUUGCUAAGUCAGGGGUGAAAUCCUGGAGCUCAACUCCAGAACUGCCUUUGAUACUGGCGAUCUUGAGUCCGGGAGAGGUGAGUGGAACUGCGAGUGUAGAGGUGAAAUUCGUAGAUAUUCGCAAGAACACCAGUGGCGAAGGCGGCUCACUGGCCCGGUACUGACGCUGAGGUGCGAAAGCGUGGGGAGCAAACAGG
rnacentral:rRNA from 1 species